AGUGAACGCUGGCGGUAGGCCUAACACAUGCAAGUCGAACGGCAGCACAGUAAGAGCUUGCUCUUACGGGUGGCGAGUGGCGGACGGGUGAGGAGUACAUCGGAAUCUACUUUUUCGUGGGGGCUAACGUAGGGAAACUUACGCUAAUACCGCAUACGACCUACGGUUGAAAGCAGGGGAUCUUCGGACCUUGCGCGAUUGAAUGAGCCGAUGUCGGAUUAGCUAGUUGGCGGGGUAAAGGCCCACCAAGGCGACGAUCCGUAGCUGGUCUGAGAGGAUGAUCAGCCACACUGGAACGGAGACACGGUCCAGACUCCUAAGGGAGGCAGCAGUGGGGAAUAUUCGACAAUGGGCGCAAGCCUGAUCCAGCCAUACCGCGUGGGUGAAGAAGGCCUUCGGGUUGUAAAGCACUUCUGUUGGGAAAGAAAAGCAGCAGGUUAAUACCCCGCUGUUCUGACGGUACCCAAAGAAUAAGCAACGGCUAACUUCGUG
rnacentral:rRNA from 1 species